GACGAACGCUGGCGGCGUGCUUAACACAUGCAAGUCGAACGAUGAACCGAGAGCUUGCUCUUGGGGAUUAGUGGCGAACGGGUGAGUAACACGUGAGUAACCUGCCCUGGACUCUGGGAUAACCCCGAGAAAUCGGAGCUAAUACCGGAUAGGACCCUGUACCGCCUGGUGUGGGGUGGACAGUUUUUUCGGUUGGGGAUGGACUCGCGGCCUAUCAGCUUGUUGGUGAGGUAAUGGGUCACCAAGGCGUCGACGGGUAGCCGGCCUGAGAGGGUGACCGGCCACACUGGGACUGAGACACGGCCCAGACGCCUACGGGGGGCAGCAGUGGGGAAUAUUGCACAAUGGGCGCAAGCCUGAUGCAGCAACGCCGCGUGCGGGAUGACGGCCUUCGGGUUGUAAACCGCUUUUAGUAAGGAAGAAGGGGAGCUUGCUCCUUGACGGUACUUGCAGAAAAAGGACCGGCUAACUACGUGCCAGCCGCCGCGGUAAGAC
rnacentral:rRNA from 1 species